GACGAACGCUGGCGGCGUGCCUAAUACAUGCAAGUCGAGCGCUUCUUUCCUCCCGAGUGCUUGCACUCAAUUGGAAAGAGGAGUGGCGGACGGGUGAGUAACACGUGGGUAACCUACCCAUCAGAGGGGGAUAACACUUGGAAACAGGUGCUAAUACCGCAUAACAGUUUAUGCCGCAUGGCAUAAGAGUGAAAGGCGCUUUCGGGUGUCGCUGAUGGAUGGACCCGCGGUGCAUUAGCUAGUUGGUGAGGUAACGGCUCACCAAGGCCACGAUGCAUAGCCGACGUGAGAGGGUGAUCGGCCACACUGGGACUGAGACACGGCCCAGACUCCUACGGGAGGCAGCAGUAGGGAAUCUUCGGCAAUGGACGAAAGUCUGACCGAGCAACGCCGCGUGAGUGAAGAAGGUUUUCGGAUCGUAAAACUCUGUUGUUAGAGAAGAACAAGGACGUUAGUAACUGAACGUCCCCUGACGGUAUCUAACCAGAAAGCCACGGCUAACUACGUG
rnacentral:rRNA from 1 species